rnacentral:lncRNA from 1 species
GAAAUUUGAAGUUUAGUGAGGUUAGGUGGCACCUCUUUGUCUAGAAAAUGGAGAUAUGGUAGUGCUGGCCUGAAAUCUCAUGGGUUUUUAAAAUCUUUUAUUUGCUUGUUAUUUCUUUACUUUUGAGGUUCAAAUAACAAUAGAAAAGUUCUGUGGAGAUUUGAAUUUAGAAUUUAAAUGCAGAUGAAGUGAGACGCUUCGGUGAAUGCCAUCAAAGCAACUAGGAGACUAGGAAGGUUGAGAGGUUACAGAUAAAUGCUUCAUUGUGUAAGAAUAUUUCUAGGAAUGUUUUGAUAAAUCCAAUUCACACAUGAAAUGGACUCACAGUGAGCCUCAUGUUAACUGGCAUGUAAGGAGCUACAAUUGGAUUUGAUAAAUAAAUAUUUUUUUAUUCUUGUAUCAGAAGGAAAGAGAGAGAGAGAGAGAGAGAGAGAGAGAGAGAGAGAAAGGGAGGAAGGAAGGAAGGAAGGAAGAAAGAAAGAAAGAAAGAAAGAAAGAAAGAAAGAAAGAAAGAAAGAAAGAAAGAGAGAAAGAAAGGAAGGAAGAAAGAAAGGGAAAAGAAAGGGAAAAGAAAGGAAGGCAGGCCUCCAGUGUUGGCCAUUCUAUUGAAGCUAUCUCUUCUUCACUUGAAGAACCUUAAGUAUUAUAGGAGAGGUAUUAGACAUUUUUUCCUUGAAGUUCAGAUUUAUACUUUUCAGGUAUUUUAAAUAUUACAAACGAUUAAAUGGUUGCACACAUCUAAAGACCAUAAUUUUAUCUACACACACAACUUUUGUAGAACAGUAGAAAUAACGCUGCUAAAAUUAUCAUAAGAUAAUUUUAUCUUAAUAAAAUAGCUCUGAGUCUAUUUUGUUGAAGGCAUGUUAGUUACAGCACCUGCUCUUACUUUUUGAAUGAGGUCUUUGAACAUUAUUUUCCCUCUGUAAGAAAGUUCUUCCUAGAGCUUUGGAAUAAUCUCUUAUACCAAGGCCCAGAAUCAGUGCUUUCACUUCAGUAAGCCUUCUUUAAUGGUGCCAUUUGAAAACAGCCUAAUUUUAACUUUCUUUAUAUUUCAUGCCAUACUUUAUAAUUAUUUGAGGAAUAAUAGCUAUAAAUAAUGCUACAUUUAGUAUUGCCAAUGAGUAUAAAUUGGUCCAACCACUUUAGGAAGCUGAAAUUUAGUAUUCUCUCUAACACUGGCCUUUAGUCUAGAAAUCCCUAUUUGUAUGUAUAGAGCUUUUAGAAGCUGCGACAGAACCCCAAAGAAACACACAUAAGGGCAUGCCUCUGGUUUGGUGACUCAUGCUGUAAUCCAGUGCUCAGAAGGUGGAGACAGGGAUACCAGGAGUUUAUGACCAGCUAGGACGACAUAGCAAGUUUGAGGCCAAUCUGCAGUACUAAGACCCUGUCUCAAAGAAACACACACACACUCCCAGGCUGCCUCUGUCUCCCUCUGUCUCUUUCCCUUUCUCUGCCCCUCUCUCUUUCUCUCUUUCAUGAACAGACGCACACAUGCAUGCACAUACACAAAAUAACCCAGAAAAACACAACAAGAAAGAGUAGUGUUCUUAGCAUUAUAGUAUUUAUAUAAACUAUUUGAUUUGUAUCAGUUUCAGAAUUUCACAAAACUUUCAAAAAUUGUAUUUUUCUUGAACUUAUGUAUUAUCAUUAGAGAACAGUAUUUGGUUUUUGUUUUAUGGUUCUGUGUGUGUGUGAGUGUGUGUGUGUUUAAGACAGGGUCUUACUACAUAGCUCUCUCUUGCCUGAAAUUUGCUAGAGAGACCAGGCUGGCCCACACAGACCAGCCUCCUGAGUACUAGAACCAAGACAGGUACCACCAUACCCAGCUGAGAAAAGUUUUUAUGACACACAUUUUCUGAGGAAAAUUGGCAUUUCCUUUAUGACUUGAUGCCCAUGUGAUUUCCAGAAAUGAUCUAUGUGUUGUAUUUUUUUCUUUUUUCUUUUCUUUCUAUUUUUUUUUUUUUGUUUGUUUCUCCAGAGUUUUCUAUAGAUCUAUCAGAACAACUUUACAACUUAAUCCACUUGGCUGUGAGCCAAUCUUUCCCUUCCCACUACAACAAACAAUCUCUCUCUCUCUCUCUCUCUCUCUCUCUCUCUCUCUCUCUCAUCCUGUUCCUUCUCUGACUGGUAAUUUAAAUAUCUAAUAUGCUAAAAGCAGCGAGGUCUAACUCAACCUUUGGGCUCCCACUCCCCUUCUCACAGAAUGGCAUGGCUGGACUUUUGUUUGUUAUUGAAGAGCGAGCUCGUUCUUUUCCAGUUCUGUACCUCAGGUGGCCGGAGACCUGCAUGAAGAAUGUGGUCUUCCCUGGUGGGCACUCUCGAAUUUGGCUACACAUUUUUUCAUCCCCCCAGGGCUUCUCAGACCAGGUAAAAGGCACGUGUGUCUGAUUGUUUUUAUGCUUAGAUGAAAGCUGACCUCUGCUGCAGAUUCUGGCUGGCUUUUCUUCCCCCUCAGUGUUUUAUGGAAACCAACAACUGUAAAACAGGAACUGUAACUCCGUAGUUGUUUUUGCUUUCCAAUGGGUUUUUCUAAUUUACUGUUUUGUUGUUGAACCGACUCCCCAGAUCCUGAGUUCAUGUGAAGGAGUUCUUAAUUCCAAACUCUGCAUUUUGUUUUCAAAGGGCCAUUGCAACCAGUACUUCAUUCUAUUUUUAAAACUAAACCUUUAAGAUACAAAGCUUUUCUAAAACUAUAUAUGUUGCCCUAUUGGUCUUGGGUUAGCUUCCUGGUUGCUGUCUGUUUGAAUCCAUGUGUAUUUCAUAUAUUAUUUGGUUAAAAAAUGUAUGCAUAUCUCAGGGUCUGUACUAACACACUGAUUUAAUAUUGAUGUGACAUAUUUUAUUUAACUUUUUUACAUUGACUUGUUUAUUUGGGGUAAUAUGUGUACACACGUGAAAGAAACAAAGAGACAGAAAAAGGAUGCAGAGACAGCCGAUGAUGCGCAUGCCCGAGGUCAGAGGCCGGGUGAGCAUCAGUUCGGUCUAGCAUGUGGGUUUUAGAGAUUGAACUCAGAUCUCCGGCCUUGAUGGCAGGAGCCUUUACAUACUGCACUGUUUUACCGGCCCCUUGAUACAAAAUUAAAUUAGAGAAUCCAUGUAUAGCACUUAGCUCACUGCCUGAAAUAUAUGCAAAUCUAUAAGACGGGGUUUUAAAAAUACUGGACUGAAAGAAGCAUUUGUCAUGUUCUCUUAGCGACAAGGAGUUGUAUCUGUUUUUAAAUUUUUCUUCCUAAAACCAUCUUGCUGUCUUAUAUGAGCUGCGUACACAGUCAAAGUGCAGUUAUGCUUGUGAUUUUUCUCUAUGUACAAGCAAGUGUAGCUGUGCAUACGUAAGGAGAAAUAAUUGGUUACAAAUUUCAUCUCCCGACGCCCAAGGACUAACGGAACCCGGAAAGGAAGAAGCUAUUCGGAACAAUACGAAUAUUUCUUGGCCCUGUCUCUCUUCAAUCUAAUUUUCUGUCCAUUGAAAGCAGCUGUGCCUUUCUCACUCUGACAAUUCUGAAAUCAGGGUAACUGGUUCCUCAUAAAGACUAGGAUGCGCUGGCAGGAGCUGCCUCUGCCGGGAGCUGCUGAAUGUUCAAUGGUGCUUGAUUAUACAGGAGGUUAAUAAGACCACUCUGAUUAUUUCCUUCUUGGUGAAACUGCCCCUUGUCUUAUUACAAAACCGCUAAUUAUCCCUCAAACCAGAGAUUCUUUAAAUAAGCACGAGAGGCAGCAUUAUGUAACAAGUGCAGGGGCUCUUUUUCUUUGUAAGGUAGAUGACUUUAAAAAAAAAAAUGAAGAUGUGGUUCUCAAACUACAUGAUUAUACACUUAAAAUGCACAGCACACUGGCUUCGACAUAGUCCCUGUCGUGUGCGCCACAGUAACCACAGUGUUUUUAAAGUUUUGUUACCUCAUAAGGAAGCUCUGCGCUAAGUGAUCACCCCAAGCUGUGUUUUGAAAGUCCCAUUCUGCUCAGCAGCCGGGCGUGGUGGCGCACGCCUUUAAUCCCAGCACUCGGGAGGCAGAGGCAGGCG